GAUAAACAAUGGUUUUCUCGACACGAUUGCAUAUACAAUUUAUCUCUGGUUGCUUCCAACUGCUUUAUUAAAAACUCGUGCAAAUAAUAAAUUCCCGAUUGCACUGCAAACGAAAAGUCUGAUUAACGUGAUUUUUAUUCUUUUUUUUUCCUCCUUCCUAUUUCAGUCUUCUUCCAUCCUUUUUUUUCUUCAAAUGUUGUUCAUUCAACAUUUUUAACAAGGUUCGUUCAACAAUUAUUUGCAUACUUCUUUCUCGGAUAAUUGAAGAAUUUUUGGCGUCCCUUCUCGUUAAGAUCACUCGUUGAACACUCAUGGUCGACCUUCGCGCCACUGACGAGAUAACAGAAAUUUAUGCAGAUAAGUGAAUGAAUUUUGCAUGCGCGCCACGUGAUCUUUGUACGUGCAUCAUGUAGCGAGGUUUUUGCAUAAGUUGUCCGCCUGAUACCGAGGGUUUCGCUAAAUUUUAACACCGAACGAGUGUGAUACCUUGCAUUCCAAAAAAUUCGUUGAAUUUUCUUCUUUUAUAACGGAUUUCAGCCAUCUCGAAAAAGGAAAGGAAAAAGAAUAUAAAGGAAAAUAUGGAACUCUAUUGGUAAGUUAUCAAGAAUUUCAAACAGAUAUAAUGUUAACAAAGGAAUGAAGGAAGCUUGGACCCAAUAGAUUUGAAUUAAAAAAUUAACUUGGAACAAAUUGUCUUUCUAAACGAAUUAAUUUAAUUUCCAAUUUUACUAACUUUAUUAUUAUUAUAAUUACAUUGAGAUAUUCGAUAUUUGAAUAUGUUAAUGAAAAUAACAUAAAAUUGGCAAAACCUUUUAUAUAUAAAAAAUUUUUUAAGUUGUUCAAUAAAUAUACGUAUAAUAA